rnacentral:rRNA from 1 species
GUGGGGAAUAUUGGACAAUGGGCGAAAGCCUGAUCCAGCCAUGCCGCGUGUGUGAAGAAGGUCUUCGGAUUGUAAAGCACUUUAAGUUGGGAGGAAGGGCAUUAACCUAAUACGUUAGUGUUUUGACGUUACCGACAGAAUAAGCACCGGCUAACUUCGUGCCAGCAGCCGCGGUAAUACGAAGGGUGCAAGCGUUAAUCGGAAUUACUGGGCGUAAAGCGCGCGUAGGUGGUUUGGUAAGCGAGAUGUGAAAGCCCCGGGCUUAACCUGGGAACGGCAUUUCGAACUGUCAGACUAGAGUGUGGUAGAGGGUAGUGGAAUUUCCUGUGUAGCGGUGAAAUGCGUAGAUAUAGGAAGGAACACCAGUGGCGAAGGCGACCACCUGGGCUAAUACUGACACUGAGGUGCGAAAGCGUGGGGAGCAAACAGGAUUAGAAACCCUAGUAGUCC